CCACUGAUGGACUGUGCAGUUUGCUACAAAACAGCAGCAAACCAGAUAGUCGAUCCCCAAGCCGUAUGUUCACUGUAUCCAGAAACCGAGACUCACAGAGGAGAUGAGGACCACCAGGACAGAGCACUGCAAAAAAAUGACUUACAACAGUGGAGCUCCUACGCUGUUGGCUGUGUCUACUGGCUAAAAUAAAAAGCAAAAAUACCAUCCUUCAUAAUAUAGUAAACGGAGAAUCUGCGCUUCACCUGUUGCAUGCUUAAUUCACCAUAGUGUCGUAACUUUGACAAGCCAAUUCUCAUUGCAGUUUCCUGCAGAUUUCUCAUCCAGGCUUCACUUAUAAUAAACAAAUACAAAAGCAGCACAUCUGCAUAUUCAUUCAUUGUGUUUUUGUUAUGUUUUCCCAUCUAUAAAGCUGGUGGUUCAGCCUCACUUUAAGCUCCUCUCUGCUGUGAUAAAUGAGUUCCUUCAUUGCUCAUAAAGUCACUGUAUUACAGAUGUAACAUUGUGUAAUAAAAAAAGAAGAACAAAAAGUGUU